rnacentral:snRNA from 1 species
CGUGGCGGUUGACGGCAACGUU